AGUAUUUUAAGGGCUUUGCAUCACUUUGGAGACAUUUCCCUGCAAUCCAUGGACAUUUUAGCUUUUAGUGACAACCAUGUCUGGAC